UACGUAGGGUGCAAGCGUUAAUCGGAAUUACUGGGCGUAAAGCGUGCGCAGGCGGUUUUGUAAGUCUGUCGUGAAAGCCCCGGGCUCAACCUGGGAAUUGCGAUGGAGACUGCAAGGCUUGAAUCUGGCAGAGGGGGGGUAGAAUUCCGACGUGUAGCAGUGAAAUGCGUAGAGAUGUGGAGGAACACCGAUGGCGAAGGCAGCCCCCUGGGUCAAGCAUUGGACGCUCAUGCACGAAAGCGUGGGGAGCAAACAGG
rnacentral:rRNA from 1 species